UACCAGCACCCCGAGUGGUCGGGACGAUUAUUGGGCCUAAAGCAUCCGUAGCCGGUUCUACAAGUCUUCCGUUAAAUCCACCUGCUUAACAGAUGGGCUGCGGAGGAUACUAUAAAGCUAGGAGGCGGGAGAGGCAAGCGGUACUUAGUGGGUAGGGGUAAAAUCCGUUGAUCCAUUGAAGACCACCAGUGGCGAAGGCGGCUUGCCAGAACGCACUCGACGGUGAGGGAUGAAAGCUGGGGGAGCAAACCGG
rnacentral:rRNA from 1 species